rnacentral:misc_RNA from 1 species
GAUGAAGAACGUAGCGAAAUGCGAUAAGUAAUGCGAAUUGCAGAAUCCGUGAGUCAUCGAAUCUUUGAACGCACAUUGCGCCCUUUGGUAUUCCGAAGGGCAUGCCUGUUCGAGCGUCAUUAUCACCCCUCAAGCCCCGGCUUGGUGUUGGGCUCUCGGUGGUCGUCUCCGACCACCCGUCUCAAAGAUAGUGACGGCGUCCCAGAGGGAACCGGUACGAGGAGCUUUCACGAGCAUGUACGCGGGACGACUCUGCGGGCGACGGUCUUAUUUACUUUAUAUACAAGUGUUGACCUCGGAUCAGGUAGGAAUACCCGCUGAACUUAAGCAUAUCUAAGCGGAGGA